rnacentral:rRNA from 1 species
CGGCACGGGUGAGUAACACGUAUGCAAUCCACCUGUAACAGGGGGAUAACCCGGAGAAAUCCGGACUAAUACCCCAUAAUAUGGGCGCUCCGCAUGGAGAGCCCAUUAAAGAGAGCAAUUUUGGUUACAGACGAGCAUGCGCUCCAUUAGCCAGUUGGCGGGGUAACGGCCCACCAAAGCGACGAUAGAUAGGGGUUCUGAGAGGAAGGUCCCCCACAUUGGAACUGAGACACGGUCCAA